rnacentral:rRNA from 1 species
UCUCAGUUCGGAUUGGAGUCUGCAACCCGACUCCAUGAAGCUGGAUUCGCUAGUAAUCGCGCAUCAGCCACGGCGCGGUGAAUACGUUCCCGGGCCUUGUACACACCGCCCGUCACACCAUGAGAGUUGGAAAUACCCGAAGCCUGUGAGCUAACAGUAAUGAGGCAGCAGUCGAAGGUAGAGCCAAUGAUUGGGGUGAAGUCGUAACAAGGUAAC